GAAAGACUUCUCAUGCUCUUGGACAGAAAAAAUUAAUAAUUGUUAAAAUAGCCAUACUUCCCAAAGCUCUUUAAAGAUUCAGUGCAAUUUCCAUCAAAAUUCCAAUGAUGUUCUUCACACAACUGGAAAUAUCAGUUAUGAAAUUCAUUUAAAAAAAUAAGAAACCCAGAAUAGCCAAAGCAAUCCUUAGUGAGAACAGCAAAGCAGGAGACAUCACAACACAGGACCUCAAAUUAUCCUACAGAGAUAUAGUAAGAAAGAGAGACUGGCACCAAAACAGGCACGAAGACCAAUGGAGUAAAGACAGAGAGAAACCCACAUAAAUACGAUUAUCGCAUACUAGACAAAGGUGCCAAAAACAUACAUUGGAAAAAAGAUAACCUUUUUAAUGAAAGGUGCUGGGAAACCUGGAAAUCCAUAUGUAGUGGAAUGAAAUGAAACCCCUACCCCUCACCCUGCACAAAACUAAGUGGAUAAAAGACCUAGGAUUUUUACCAGAAACGCUGCAACUUCUAGAAAAUAAUGUAGUUCCAACACUCCAACAUGUAUGUUUGUUCAGGAACUGAGUUCCCUAACAAGACUCCUAAAGUCAGAAAAAUAAAAUAAAUAAAUAAACAAAUGGGAUGUCAUCAAAUGAAAAAUCUUUUUC
rnacentral:lncRNA from 1 species